GAUGAACGCUGGCGGCGUGCCCAAUACAUGCAAGUCGAGCGAAUGGAUUAAGAGCUUGCUCUUAUGAAGUUAGCGGCGGACGGGUGAGUAACACGUGGGUAACCUGCCCAUAAGACUGGGAUAACUCCGGGAAACCGGGGCUAAUACCGGGUAACAUUUUGAACCGCAUGGUUCGAAAUUGAAAGGCGGCUUCGGCUGUCACUUAUGGAUGGACCCGCGUCGCAUUAGCUAGUUGGUGAGGUAACGGCUCACCAAGGCAACGAUGCGUAGCCGACCUGAGAGGGUGAUCGGCCACACUGGGACUGAGACACGGCCCAGACUCCUACGGGAGGCAGCAGUAGGGAAUCUUCCGCAAUGGACGAAAGUCUGACGGAGCAACGCCGCGUGAGUGAUGAAGGCUUUCAGGUCGUAAGACUCUGUUGUUAGGGAAGAACAAGUGCUAGUUGAAUAAGCUGGCACCUUGACGGUACCUAACCAGAAAGCCACGGCUAACUACGUGCCAGCCGCCGCCGUAA
rnacentral:rRNA from 1 species